CGAGUGGCGGACGGGUGGAGUAACGCGUGGGUAACCUGCCUCAUACAGGGGGAUAACAACUGGAAACGGUUGAUAAUACCGCAUAAGCGCACGGUAUCGCAUGAUACAGUGUGAAAAACUCCGGUGGUAUGAGAUGGACCCGCGUCUGAUUAGCUAGUUGGCGGGGUAACGGCCCACCAAGGCGACGAUCAGUAGCCGGCCUGAGAGGGUGAACGGCCACAUUGGGACUGAGACACGGCCCAAACUCCUACGGGAGGCAGCAGUGGGGAAUAUUGCACAAUGGGGGGAAACCCUGAUGCAAGCGACGCCGCGUGAGCGAAGAAGUAUUUCGGUAUGUAAAGCUCUAUCAGCAGGGAAGAAAAUGACGGUACCUGACUAAGAAGCCCCGGCUAACUACGUGCCAGCAGCAGC
rnacentral:rRNA from 1 species